GUCGAAGGAGUUGAUGGGGGUGGAGGGAGACGUUAGAUUUGGAGGGGGGCCACCUUCUGCAUUUGUCACCGCGUCAAUGCUGGGCAGCUGCCAGCCCACCCUUCCCCCGCUCCCCUUCCAGCAACUUCUUCCAACAGCCUCUUCCAAAGGACCCUCUAACUCUCCUCCCUAAUGCCUCGCCCUUCGAGCAGGGCACAAAGAAAUCUCAGUCUCCUUCCAUAAACUUUGUGCUUGCAGUCACCGCGCCCCUCCAGGAGCCCCCGCCCUCCGCCCUUCCAGUUUCUUGGCAGGAAGGUUAGGCCACUGGCAAAGUCCCCGGGCGAAAGCCAGCUGAUCACAAAUGCCAACUGUGUGUCUUGGGGCCCGUUAAGUCCUCUCAUCUGCCAGGGCUCUCAGGAGACCAUUUCAUUGCUGACAGUUCUCGGGAGAGUGCUGCAGACCGGACCAUCCCCCACUAGGCCCACAAGGAUGGGGUGCUGAGCUGUACUCAGAGCGCUUUUCUGCAUCUUGCUUGAGAGUUUCCAUUUGAAAUAAUAAAAUCCCGUUAUCGGGAGUCAGGCAGAUAUUUUUCUCUCUUCCAAAAGGACUGUGGUUAGCUGGAUGAUUCGCUGUAGGUAGGAAGGGAACUAUCACCUCUAAUAGGAAGCACUAACUUUUUACAAAGUCUGUGGAAGUUCUGCAGCUCCGCGCUGCCCCCGUGACCUUCCUUUCUCUUAGAUCUGCCACGGGAAGCAUCAUGGAGCUAAUAACAGAUUUAAUCUUGCCAUAAUUUUUCAAUCAGGCUGCCUUAUUUCCUGAUAUGAUGGGUGUGAGGUAAUGCAUCGAGUUUCAGGACACUUGAUCAUGGAAAACCAACGCCACCCAGAAGAAAGGACCGACAACUGGACCUUGACAUGCAUAGACUGAAUGAAGAUGGGUUAAAUAGUUCUACACUGAGGAGCCUGGAGGUGUGACUCCAUUUGAUACAUUAGAGGAAGGCAACAGCACUGUUGUCAACCUGAAGAUAUAUUGUGACUGGAAACGUAUUACAUAUCUUAAAGAGUAGUUUCUCUUCACUGUAACAUAAGAAUUUGUGCUAUCAUCUUCUUCCUUGAAGCAAUAUUGGCUACCACAUGUCAAUGCAUUGUGAAAAGACAUAGUGAGAAGAACGGUUAGACCCGGUUAUAACACCACAUACCCUUCUCUGUAUUCCUCCUCUCUCUGUAGUCGUCUUACAUAUCGUUAUUUUCAGUUUUAGGAAGGAUGUUUAUUACAGGGUGAGACCUCAGAGUGGGAUACCUUUGAGCCUCACUGACUUGGAGUUAGUGGGUGGAGGAGGGGAGGAGAAUGAGUUAGUCCUUGGAUAGAUAAAUGUAUCUCUGGUCUCUGAGUCACUAGUUAAGAGAUAACUUUUGAAAGCUCUCUGGUCUUUCUCAGGAGUAAACAGCACAGAGAUUCUGAAGUGUAUUUGUUACUGCAUCACAUCCAAGCUUAUCCUGCCUGAAUUAUUUUCUGAGAAUAUAACAAAUUCCAUGCCAGACACAUUUCUAUUGCAUAUAUCUAAAACAGUUUACAGUCAUGAUGAAUGUUUAGGGCUGUUUAAUCCAGAAUCUCACCCUGAUUUGAAAUACAGCAAAUGCACCAACUCCAAAAUUUCCCGUAGUAGUAAUAGGUUCAGCAUGUAGUUUCUCUACGUACCAGAGAUAACUUUCUGAAAAGAUCAGACAGGAAAAUACUCUAAUGUCUGUGGUACACCCUGGUGGACUUUACCGGAGCUUUGAUGCUAUAAACAGAGGAAUUUAAAAUCACACGCUUAGAUCUCUCUGACUUCUGACUUCUCGCUUACCAUGAGCUGUCUUCUUUCUCAGGGUCAGAUUUAUCAGACGAUCAGCUGUCUGUUUUGUUUCCCAGAUUCUGGAUGUGAUAGAGGUACAGACAUCAAAAAGACAAAGCCACCGAAAGAAACAUACCCCCUUUUCACUCCUCAUUUAACAUUGUUUAAUCUAUUUUUUUCCAUAGAAUUUUCUAUGGCAUGAAAAGUGAAAAGAAGAGUUAACGUUUUGCCAGACCUAAAACUAGAGAUAAGUGGGGAGCACAGAGUUCAUUCCUAUUGCUGUUCAUGCUCCUAAAUAGUCAUAGAUUUGUGGUGUCAUUUGCUCACACUUUUGCCUGUGAUGUUUCUUUCAUUUUUCUAGAUUGAUUCAUUACUCUGUUUAUGUGUGGUAUGCUUUUUCAUAUACAUUACCAUUUUUCUUUUGUCAUUGUGUUAUCUAUUAUAUCUUUUUGUUUGUGUAUUAAAGAUACUGUGCUUAUAUAUUAAAGGCAUAAUAUCUAUUCUGAGAUUAUAAAACAUGUGAAUUGUUUACGUAGCUAAUUUAAUUUUUUCUCUAUCUGGACUUAACUUUUAUAUAAAAAUGAGGCAUAAUUAUGUUUUGA